GACGAACGCUGGCGGCGUGCUUAACACAUGCAAGUCGAACGGAAAGGCCCUGCUUUUGUGGGGUGCUCGAGUGGCGAACGGGUGAGUAACACGUGAGUAACCUGCCCUUGACUUUGGGAUAACUUCAGGAAACUGGGGCUAAUACCGGAUAGGAGCUCCUGCUGCAUGGUGGGGGUUGGAAAGUUUCGGCGGUUGGGGAUGGACUCGCGGCUUAUCAGCUUGUUGGUGGGGUAGUGGCUUACCAAGGCUUUGACGGGUAGCCGGCCUGAGAGGGUGACCGGCCACAUUGGGACUGAGAUACGGCCCAGACUCCUACGGGAGGCAGCAGUGGGGAAUAUUGCACAAUGGGCGCAAGCCUGAUGCAGCGACGCCGCGUGGGGGAUGACGGCCUUCGGGUUGUAAACUCCUUUCGCUAGGGACGAAGCGUUUUUGUGACGGUACCUGGAGAAGAAGCACCGGCUAACUACGUGCCAGCAGCCGCGGUAAUACGUAGGGUGCGAGCGUUGUCCGGAAUUACUGGGCGUAAAGAGCUCGUAGGUGGUUUGUCGCGUCGUUUGUGUAAGCCCGCAGCUUAACUGCGGGACUGCAGGCGAUACGGGCAUAACUUGAGUGCUGUAGGGGAGACUGGAAUUCCUGGUGUAGCGGUGGAAUGCGCAGAUAUCAGGAGGAACACCGAUGGCGAAGGCAGGUCUCUGGGCAGUAACUGACGCUGAGGAGCGAAAGCAUGGGUAGCGAACAGGAUUAGAUACCCUGGUAGUCCAUGCCGUAAACGGUGGGCGCUAGGUGUGAGUCCCUUCCACGGGGUUCGUGCCGUAGCUAACGCAUUAAGCGCCCCGCCUGGGGAGUACGGCCGCAAGGCUAAAACUCAAAGGAAUUGACGGGGGCCCGCACAAGCGGAGGAACAUGUGGUUUAAUUCGAUGAUACGCGAGGAACCUUACCCGGGAUUGAAAUGUAGAUGACCGCUCCUGAAAGGGAGUUUUCCUUCGGGACAUCUAUGUAGGUGCUGCAUGGUUGUCGUCAGCUCGUGCCGUGAGGCGUCGGCUUAAGUGCCAUAACGAGCGCAACCCCUGUCUACGGUUGCCAUCAGGUGAUGCUGGGAACUCCGUAGAGACUGCCGUCGUAAGGCGUGAGGAAGGUGGGGAUGACGUCAAAUCAGCACGGCCCUUACAUCCGGGGCGACACACGUGUUACAAUGGUAAGGACAAAGGGCAGCUACCUGGCGACAGGAUGCGAAUCUCUAAACCUUAUCACAGUUCGGAUCGGAGUCUGCAACUCGACUCCGUGAAGCUGGAUUCGCUAGUAAUCGCGCAUCAGCCAUGGCGCGGUGAAUACGUUCCCGGGCCU
rnacentral:rRNA from 1 species